rnacentral:rRNA from 1 species
ACGGGAGGCAGCAGUGGGGAAUAUUGGACAAUGGGGGCAACCCUGAUCCAGCCAUGCCGCGUGAGUGACGAAGGCCUUAGGGUUGUAAAGCUCUUUCACCCGUGAAGAUGAUGACGGUAGCGGGAGAAGAAGCCCCGGCUAACUCCGUGCCAGCAGCCGCGGUAAUACGGAGGGGGCGAGCGUUGUUCGGAAUUACUGGGCGUAAAGGGCGCGUAGGCGGCUGGUUUCGUUAGGUGUGAAAGCCCCGGGCUCAACCUGGGAACUGCACUUAAUACGGGCCGGCUCGAGAGCGGGAGAGGAGUGUGGAAUUCCCAGUGUAGAGGUGAAAUUCGUAGAUAUUGGGAAGAACACCGGUGGCGAAGGCGGCACUCUGGCCCGUUUCUGACGCUGAGGCGCGAAAGCGUGGGGAGCAAACAGGAUUAGAUACCCUGGUAGUCCACGCCGUAAACGAUGUGCGCUAGCCGUUGGGCAGCAUGCUGUUCAGUGGCGCAGCUAACGCGUUAAGCGCACC